rnacentral:rRNA from 1 species
UGGGGAAUAUUGCACAAUGGGCGCAAGCCUGAUGCAGCGACGCCGCGUGAGGGAUGACGGCCUUCGGGUUGUAAACCUCUUUCAGUAGGGAAGAAGCGAAAAGUGACGGUACCUGCAGAAGAAGCACCGGCUAACUACGUGCCAGCAGCCGCGGUAAUACGUAGGGUGCGAGCGUUAUCCGGAAUUAUUGGGCGUAAAGAGCUCGUAGGCGGUUUGUCGCGUCUGUCGUGAAAAGUCCGGGGCUUAACCCCGGAUCUGCGGUGGGUACGGGCAGACUAGAGUGCAGUAGGGGAGACUGGAAUUCCUGGUGUAGCGGUGGAAUGCGCAGAUAUCAGGAGGAACACCGAUGGCG